rnacentral:tRNA from 1 species
UGGGAUAUAGCCAAGCGGUAAGGCAACAGGUUUUGAUCCUGUCAUGCAUAGGUUCGAAUCCUAUUAUCCCAA